GUAUUUGUAAAUAUAUAUUGAUUACUAAUAAUAAUGGUACCUCGAAACAGGGCAAAGGGGUGGGUUCACUUUACUGACAUUACUAAUUGUAAAAACGGGGCCCUUUUACCUCCGAAAGAAACCCCCUCAAACCCCCAAGCGGCGUGUUUCAGUGGAUGCAGUGCCAGCACUGACCAGCCCAGCGCUGUUCCUCCUACCUGUAGGUAUACCUGCGCUCGAACCGCAGGUGCAGCGUACACUGACCACGCCCCUUCAAGGUGACAUCCCCCGCUGGCCACGCCCCGCACAGGUAGAUCGGAAAGAUGGCGGCCGGGGUAACACGGAACAUGAGGCGCUGUGAAUUGUGAGCUGUUGCUGGUGCGCUGCAGUCCUGGAUCGACACACGGAUUUUGGUGAUCUCCGCGCAGGUCCUGUUCCCAGAUGCCUCGGCGGAAUGCACAGCCUGUCUGGUGUUUGUCAGGCUAAGUGCCCUUUCAUUUGAAUCUGCUUCGCAGUGUACCCUCGCAUGGUUUAUAGUAUGUU